CAAAGCUUCCUGGGAGCAGAAGUAGUUCUGGGCGCGAAGUGGCCUUCAACCCUGUGGUGGUCGGCUGGGCGGCUAUGGCUGAAACCGCGAGGUGGGAGUAGGGCGUCCGGGGUAAAGAAUCCCUCUUCCCAGGAAUAGCCAAGUGAAAAGUAUGAAUCGCUGACUUGAAAAGCCAUCUGUGUUUAUUCAGAUCCUUAAACCAGUGCCACUCAAAGGAUGGUCUAUAACUGAGAUUAGUCCAUAAACUAUUUGUUUCUGGUCCAGAUGAGGUCCUCAGCCUUCUCUCCAUUCAGCUGGCAGAUAGAGUGAAGAUCAAGCCCGGUUGGGAGGACUUUAUGGGCCAAGCCUGGAAGUGGCCCCCAUGACUUCCUCUCACAUGUCAUUGUCCAGAACUCAGCCACGUGGCCUCACCUCAGUGCAAAGGAGGCUGGAAGAUGGGGCUAAUGGUCUUCCCAAGACCAGGGUGGAGAGGGUGGAUAUCUGUCUUUGGCACAUCUGGUGAGCUGCUGCCCCUUGGUCUGAUUUUUGUAUUCUACUCAUUCAGAAACCAUUUAUUCAGUACUACUGGGCAUCUAGUUCUUUUUGACUAAAAAUAUUAUUUAAGCCACUCAUAGUGAAUUAACAUACAAAUGUAAAACCAAAAUGGUUUAUUCAAAGUAGAGCAGCACUUCACACUGACAGUCUGAGUAUUUAGGAAAUGCUGCCUGAAACAAUAUGGUUGGACAUAUGAUCACACUGAGUGAAGUAAGUCAGACUGAGAAAGACAAAUAUUAUAUGAUAUCACUUAUAUGUGGAAUCGAAAAUGUGACACAGAAGGAGACUAUGAAACAGACUCACAGACAUGGAGAACAGGCUUGUAGUUGCCAAGGGGAACUUGGCAUUGGGAGUUUGGGAUUAGUAGAUGUAAACUAUGGGAACUUAGCAUUGGAUUGGGAGUUUGGAGUUAGCAGAUGCAAACUAUUAUAUAUAGAAUGGAUAAACAAUAAGGUCCUACUGUGAAGCAUAGGAAACUAUAUUCAAUAU